GAUGAACGCUGGCGGCGUGCCUAAUACAUGCAAGUCGAGCGAACAGACGAUGAGCUUGCUCCUCUGACGUUAGCGGCGGACGUGUGAGUAACACGUGUAUAACCUACCUAUAAGACUGGGAUAACUUCGUGAAACCGUAGCUAAUACCGGAUAACAUUUUGAACCGCAUGGUUCAACAGUGAAAGACGGUCUUGCUGUCACUUAUAGAUGUAUCCGGGCGGCAUUAGCUAGUUGGUAAGGUAACGGCUUACCAAGGCAACGAUGCGUAGCCGACCUGAGAGGGAGAUCGGCGAAACGGGAAGUGAGACAGGGAAAAGAGUACGAAGGGAGGCAGCAGUAGGGAAUAUUCCGCAAUGGGCGAAAGGAUGACGGAGCAACGGCGCGUGAGUGAAGAAGGUCUGAGGAUCGUAAAACUCUGUUAUGAGGGAAGAAAAAAUGUGUAAGUAAAUAUGCACGUAAUGACGGUAACUAAACAGAAAGCAACGGCUAACUACGUG
rnacentral:rRNA from 1 species